AAACUGGCAAGUUUUGCCUUAUAAGAUGGCUCCAGCCCCAGGAACAAUGAGGUCAGCUCCUAGGAUGGAAAAACAGCUUCUGGAGAAGGGUCUAGUAAAGUCGCUGAAUCUGGCUUCAAAUUCAUGAGUCGUCUGCUUCAACCUCUGGAAUAGCUGGAAUUCAGGUGAGGACAUUCAACUUUUCUCAACCCAUCUGAGGCAUGCUCUAACAGCAUCUUGUGAUUUACUGCUUAAUUAUAACUGUAUCCAUGUCUGCCUGGGCCUGAAAAAGUAUUGGAAUUCUUUUCUUUCUUUGUAACGAAUCAAGCUGCCAUUUUGCCCCAGCACUUAUGGAGAAGCCCGGUUGGCAAGGAACUGUGAGCAACCCCUUAGAGCUAAAAGCAGUGCCUAGCCCACAGUCAUUGAAAAACUGGAUUCCUGGUCUUACAGCAUAAAGGAACUCAAUUCUGCCAACAAUCUGCAUCUGGAAGCUCAUCUACCACUAGUCGGGUCUCCCCAUAUGGAAUUGAGCCCUGGCCCAUAUCAUGAAGGCACCUUUGCAAGGAGUGAGUCUGCUCAUGACCAAUCUCCUCACCCACAGGAUGUGAGGGGCUCCUGCCAUUGUGAUACCAUCCACCAUGUCUUCACCAGAGCCAAGAAGAAGCCAGCAUCAUGCUCUUGGACUUCUAAAACUAUAAGCUAAGUAACCUCUUUUCUUUGUAAAGUACUCAGU